rnacentral:lncRNA from 1 species
GCACCUAUGGCAUUCAACUCAAGUUUAGCUCAAAAAAUUUUACCCCCUCCUAUUUUCAACUUUUUAAAAACCAUUAUGUGGAUACAUGUAGCACAACACUGUGACAUAAUAAAAUAAAGUAAUGGCAAUGGAUACUACCUCAAUGUAUAACCGGUUAACAAUACAACCCAUGUACACUCAUAGAAAAGAAGUCCCAACUCUCACAGUAUCAUAAUGUCAAUGCAAGGGACUAUGUCAAGACACUCACUCUCACAAAAGAAAUUUCAAUCAAUGUGCAUAGAAUACCAUAUGCUUUCCCUUAUUAUCUAUACAUUAGUUUUUUGGACAAUUGAACGAGGAUCACUAUAGGACUUUGUUUUUCUUGUAAUGUAGAUUUGGGGGCAGGAAUAGUACAUUUGGGAUAUAGUGACUAACCCUCCUUGACACUAUACUUACAUUUUGUCUCUAUUUCUCAACCAUUUUUUUAUUUUCUCCUUUUUUUCCUUUAUUAAAUUUUUUUCAAAUUGGGUGUGGUUUUUAUUUAUUGAUUUUUUAUUUUUUUCUUUUUGUUUUCAAGUUUUCCACCUUUUUCUUUCUUCUUUCUUUUUUUCUACCACGCCUAACUUUACUUUCUUUUUCUUUUAUAUUAUACAUCGUUCUGCAUACCCAAUGUUAACAAUGAACUCUUAUAAUAGUCACCCUCAACUUAGGCAAUUUGACUGAGUUGAGGUGCAUAAUGUCCAGGAGGAAACAGGGCCAAAAUAAGCUCAUUGUAAUCAAUUGGAAAUAUGGACAGGUGAAAACCAAAAAGUAGGUCAAUGUAGGCUUGAAUCAGGGAUCAAGGAUACUUAUUCAUUUUUAGACGAUUAUUUAGGCUAAGAAUGGACUAAGUAAAAAAUGGCCUAUGAUCAUGUCCUACCCAAGUAUCCUACAACCUAGGCAAGACUAACCGAGCAAGUUUUGAAUUGAAUGCAUAAAAAAAUCUAGGUAAGUACCUAACACACACAUGGUACAGGGUUAGAUAACCGACUACUAACUAUCCAGUUCAUGCAAUGCUAAGCUAUGAUUAUUUUAUUCCUAAUCCUAAUGCCAUGACAUGAUUCAAACAAUAGUCACACAGAUAUUUACAUCAUACAAUUCAUAAAAAUUUUGAAGGGAUAGUUUUUUUUCAAAACACUUGCGAAUAAACAAAAUAUGUCAACUGCCCUUAGGUUCCUU